rnacentral:rRNA from 1 species
GACGAACCGUCCGAACGUUAUUCGGAAUUACUGGGCUUAAAGGGUGCGUAGGCGGCGCGGAAAGUAGGGUGUGAAAUCCCCGGGCUCAACCCGGGAACUGCGUCCGAUACUGGCAGGCUUGAAUUCGGGAGAGGGAUGCGGAAUUCCAGGUGUAGCGGUGAAAUGCGUAGAUAUCUGGAGGAACACCGGUGGCGAAGGCGGCAUCCUGGACCGAGAUUGACGCUGAGACGCGAAAGCGUGGGGAGCAAACAGG